rnacentral:lncRNA from 1 species
CUUGCUUUGUCUCUUUUUGAUUAUAUAUGAUCUCAUUUUUUUCUUCUUUCUAUUUUUACAUUUUACAAAUUGUAUGUCUUUUUUCUCUAUUUCAUGUUAUUGGCACAGUAAUGUAUAAUAUAUUAUGCAGCAUUGUUGGUGUAUUCUGGUUACAAUUUGAAUUCUUCUCAGACAUGGCAGGUGAGAUCAGACAUCUCAAAGAUAUUUUCACAUUCACACACUUUAAGUACACAGCUGUAUGGGUUUUUUCUUGGUUUUCUUUUAUGCAUUUAACAAAAUACAUAUUUUUGUUUUUUAAAAUAGAAAUAUCAUUUGAAAAUGAG